rnacentral:lncRNA from 1 species
CAUUGGUGUUGUUCCCAUUCCUUACUUGAUCUUCUUCGUUCAGUUUAUCCUGACAUUGACGAUUAGGGCUUCCUACCUCCACCAUCCAUCCUACGUCGUCGUUGUUGUCCUCCACUACCAUCUUCAUCCUAUGCAACCUUCACGUUUAGGAUGGAAUAAUAUUGAAUUAGAAGAUCUUGGAUGAUGAAAGAAAUGGUGAUCGUAACAAGAAUUUGGGGAACUUAUACCUUUUACACAUUUUUCCUGAGAUAAUUAUAUGCUUUUAAUUUUUGGAUGGUUAGAUCUCAUGUUUGAGAUUAACAGUGUUGCUUUUAUUUAACAUGC